CGGCGCGGCGCGGCGCGGCGCUCGGGCGAGCCCAAAAAAAUCGACAACAUCGCACGCGUCAAUCGUCAACAGCGUCGUUCGAAAACAAACGGUUCUCUCAAUGGCUAAGGGACAACAAUGAUUACGACACUUUCAAAACAUCCCGGACCUUGAAGACGAUUGCGAGCUAUCAGGACACUGCCCGUACACCGCGUCUGUUUCUUCUAGAAUAUGCCGGUUGCUGACAUUCUCGAUCGGGCUCUCGUCGGUGUCGCGUUACUUAACGCGCGUUAACCUAACUGAAUCUAAACCCCGAUCGAGUUGUAUCUAUGCGGCUGUCAGUGUCGCGUCAUUGUCACGACUGAUUAUCUGGAGUGUUGCGACGGAGGCGAGCUGGAGCCAUGAUGCUGGAUCGGGAAACCUGCACGGAGGACGCAAAACGCAGGGAGACAUGGACAACAAUGCAUCGUGUAUUUCCAGAAGAAUCUCCUCUUGAGGCUAUACACUACCAAAAAUAAUAUCUGAAAAAGAGAGGAGUAAGGAAAAGGACUGCAAGUAAACAUUCAUGUCAUGAAAGUAAGCCACACAAAUAAAUAUAUAAUGUAUACAUGGAAAAAAGUUAACUGUGGCAGCAAGAACCUGUGUGUGGUAGUUAAACUUCGUAUUAUGUGGAUAUUUAAAAGAUGCUACCAGUAGGCAUAUAUUUAACUAUGAAACUGGUAUAAUAGCAACAGCAGCAAAAGUUUUAUAACAUUAAAUACAUCUUCAAUCAUGAUUUUCAUUUUAAACCAUGAUUGAACAAGUUGCGACAGUCAAAUCUUUUUUUCCUGUAUAAGGCACUCAAAAGAAAGUAUAAUCUUUUCUUGUAUAAGACAUCCAAAAGAGAGUUAAUCUCAUCUUUAGCAAAAUCCUCGUAGUCUAAUACAAGCUUUUUUAAUUAAAAUUAUAUUUUUAAAAGCAACGUUUUUUCGUAAUAAAAGAGCAUCUUGUUUCAAGUGAAUAUAAUACUUGAGUCAAAAGGAAAAAAAGUUAAAAUAAUAUAUCUAGUAGAUUUUUGAUUAAUAUAUAUUUUACUUGACUAGAAGAGGAAGAUUCUUUCAGUAAGAAGAAUUGAAUCAAGGAAUAUGUUUACUUGAAGCAAAAUGCUCUUUUAUUACGAGAAAAAGUUGCUAUUAAAAAUACAAAAUUAAUUAAAAAAACUUGUAUUAGAGUACGAGGAUUCUGCUAAAGAUAUGAUUAUAAUUUCUUUUGAUUGUCUCAUACAGUAAAAUAAGAUUAUACUUUCUUUUGGAUGCC